rnacentral:rRNA from 1 species
AACGAACGCUGGCGGCAUGCCUAACACAUGCAAGUCGAACGAGACCUUCGGGUCUAGUGGCGCACGUGUGCGUAACGCGUGGUAAUCUGCCCUUGGGUUCGGUAUAACAGUUGGAAACGACUGCUAAUACCGGAUGAUGACAUAAGUCCAAAGAUUUAUCGCCCAAGGAUGAGCCCGCGUAGGAUUAGCUAGUUGGUGAGGUAAAGGCUCACCAAGGCGACGAUCCUUAGCUGGUCUGAGAGGAUGAUCAGCCACACUGGGACUGAGACACGGCCCAGACUCCUACGGGAGGCAGCAGUGGGGAAUAUUGGACAAUGGGCGAAAGCGUGAUAAAGCAAUGCCGCGUGAGUGAUGAAGGCCUUAGGGUUGUAAAGCUCUUUUACCCGGGAUGAUAAUGACAGUACUGGGAGAAUAAGCUCCGGCUAACUACGUG